GCCGGCAGCUAGCUCUCUGCAGCUCUCACAUGGUCGCCCACUGAAGCUGAGCAGGGCUGUGCAUGAUUAGUACCUUGAUGGGAGACCACAUGGGAAAGCUAGGUUGCUGUUGGCA
rnacentral:rRNA from 1 species